CGAGCUCAAAUUUUCUCCCCAUUUUUCACACCCUUCCUCUCGUCAGUCUCUCGAUCUUUUGUUCAUGAUUCUUGCGCUAAUUUCAUGGUGCCUGUUCUUCUUUUUCCCUCCGGCCUGAACCCCUCGAUCUUUUGCACUUGAUUCAUGAUUCUUGCGCUAAUUUCAUGGUGCCUGUUCUUCUUCCCUCGAUCUUUUGCACAUGAUAUAUGCCUACCUUCGGAUGGACUGGUCUCAUCCUUUCCAAGUGACCUUGUACGGAGCCAUUUGAGAAGCUUAAUCUACCAUCUGUGACUGUCGGCCAUUCUAACCCCCUCCACUUACACACUCUUUCAACUCAAAUCAAUCCAAGAGAAAUUCAAUUCAAUGCAGAUUGAAGAACAAAGUCAUCUGUUUACUUUAGGCCGUUCACGGAAGUUUCGUUCAGAGUGCAGUAUGAACUGGUGGAAGAUUCCUACUACAAAUCUUUCAUGGCAGCCAUAACUGACAUGUCAUCUAGCUGGUUGGUCUACAAUCUGUCCUCAAAGAAGGUGGGAAACGUGGAGGUGGAGCUUCCGGAUACGGAUGUGAUUGAAGCUUUCUAUGUCGGCAACACUCAUACCACAAGCACUAGUUGGGUCUUCUACGUAUGCCUUCGUCAUAUGGUUAAUUAUACGACUAGUGGUGUUCGAUAUGCCAAGGUCGAAGUUGUGCAAGGCAAGGACGGGGAUUACAUUGCUACUGUGCAGAUGAAUGGUGUCCUGAGAGUGCGUCCCUUUUCAGAUAUGCAUAUGUUUGGUUUCAAAGCAAGGUCUAAGAGAGAUGCGGAGGAACAACCACUGGAGAAGAAAGGGAAAGAGAAGAUGAUGAGAAUUGAGUGAAAGCCUGCUGCUGGGAACUAUAUAUGUACAGACUUAUUUUCGUGUUGUUUAAAUCAGAGAAUGAAUAAUUAUGUGUCUCAAUGAUCAAGAGCAAACUCAAUUAUGAUAAGAAUAUGACUCUCUUUGAAUUUGAAAUUAACUAUUGAGUGAAAAAGAAAAUUUGAUUGCUAUGUCCUUAA